UGUGAUUUCUCUUUUAAAGAUAAAGAUGGAAGCUUCUCGCUUGUAGACUGAGGCUCACUACAUCCAUCAUGUGAAGCAAAUGAUAUAUCAUCACUGAAUCUGUUGAGGGUGAUAUCAGAUCAAGAAGGAAAUCCAAUUGAGGAGCUCAAUGCUGGUAGAAUUUGCGACUGGUUCUUGAAAGACAAGCUCAAGAGGGAGCAGGACUUUGAGUCUGCAGUCCUUCAAUGGGAUGAUUCUAACUUCCAUAUCUAAGUAUUGC